AUUGACUAUUUAAGAUUUUAAGUCUAUUUUUGCCAUUGAUAAACUGUGACUAAAAUGUUUUUCAGUGUCGCUGUCUUUUACAAAAGAAUAUGCAAAUACAUUCACAAUUUUGCCAUGAAGCAAUGGCGAUAGCUCAAAAUGUUUUAUUUGGAAUUGGUGGAACUAUAUUUAUAUAUACAUCAACAAUGAUGGUUUGUCCAUAAGGUUUGUC